ACGGCAUGAUGGGGACAUUUUCUUGUGAGGUCCUUCAAUCUUUCCCAUGACUCAUGGAAUUGCUCACCAUCUUGCUGUGAGAAGCUAGUGAGAGCUCUCCUUAUUU
rnacentral:snoRNA from 1 species